GCUCAGUAACACGUGGAUAACCUGCCCUCAGGUCCGGCAUAACCUCGGGAAACUGAGGAUAAUUCCGGAUAUCUCUUCUCUGCUGGAAUCGCUUGAAGAGACAAAGAAUUUCGCCUGAGGAUGGGUCUGCGGCCUAUCAGGUUGUAGGGGGUGUAACGUACCCUCUAGCCGACAACGGGUACGGGUUGUGAGAGCAAGAGCCCGGAGAUGGAUUCUGAGACAUGAAUCCAGGCCCUACGGGGCGCAGCAGGCGCGAAAACUUUACAAUGCAGGAAACUGUGAUAAGGAGACACCGAGUGCUCGCAUCAAAUGCGGGCUGUCCACAUACCUAAAUCGUAUGUGUUAGCAAGGGCCGGGCAAGACCGGUGCCAGCCGCCGCGGUAAUACCGGUGGCCCGAGUGGUAGCCGCUUUUAUUGGGUCUAAAGGGUCCGUAGCCGGUUCGGUCAGUCCAUUGGGAAAUCCGGAUGCUCAACAUCCGGGCUUCCAGUGGAUACUGCCGAACUUGGGAUCGGGGGAGGUAAGAGGUACUACAGGGGUAGGAGUGAAAUCUUGUAAUCCUUGUGGGACCACCUGUGGCGAAGGCGUCUUACCAAAACGAGUCCGACGGUGAGGGACGAAAGCUGGGGGCACGAACCGGAUUAGAUACCCGGGUAGUCCCAGCCGUAAACGAUGCUCGCUAGGUGUCAGGCAUGGCGUGACUGUGUCUGGUGCCGAAGGGAAGCCGUGAAGCGAGCCACCUGGGAAGUACGGCCGCAAGGCUGAAACUUAAAGGAAUUGGCGGGGGAGCACAACAACGGGUGGAGCCUGCGGUUUAAUUGGACUCAACGCCGGAAAACUCACCAGGGGAGACAGCAAUAUGUAGGUCAAGCUGAAGACUUUACCUGAAUCGCUGAGAGGAGGUGCAUGGUCGUCGCCAGUUCGUACUGUGAAGCAUCCUGUUAAGUCAGGCAACGAGCGAGACCCGUGCCCACAGUUACCAGCGGCAUCUCCGGAUGGCCGGGUACUCUGUGGGGACCGCCGGUGUUAAAUCGGAGGAAGGUGCGGGCUACGGUAGAUCAGUAUGCCCCGAAUCUCUUGGGCUACACGCGGGCUACAAUGGACGGGACAAUGGGCAACUACACCGAAAGGUGAUGUCAAUCUCAUAAACCCGUUCGAAGUUCGGAUCGAGGAUUGAAACCCAUCCUCGUGAAGCUGGAAUCCGUAGUAAUCGCGUUUCAACAUAGCGCGGUGAAUACGUCCCUGCUCCUUGCACACACCG
rnacentral:rRNA from 1 species